ACUCCUACGGGAGGCAGCAGUGGGGAAUAUUGCACAAUGGGCGCAAGCCUGAUGCAGCCAUGCCGCGUGUAUGAAGAAGGCCUUCGGUUGUAAAGUACUUUCAGCAGUGAGGAAGGUGGGUAUGUUAAUAGCAUAUUCAUUUGUACGUUAGCUGCAGAAGAAGCACCGGCUAACUCCGUGCCAGCAGCCGCGGUAAUACGGAGGGUGCGAGCGUUAAUCGGAAUUACUGGGCGUAAAGCGCAUGCAGGUGGUUUGUUAAGUCAGAUGUGAAAGCCCGGGGCUCAACCUCGGAAUUGCAUUUGAAACUGGCAAACUAGAGUACUGUAGAGGGGGUAGAAUUUCAGGUGUAGCGGUGAAAUGCGUAGAGAUCUGAAGGAAUACCGGUGGCGAAGGCGGCCCCCUGGACAGAUACUGACACUCAGAUGCGAAAGCGUGGGGAGCAAACAGGAUUAGAUACCCUGGUA
rnacentral:rRNA from 1 species